CAGCACCUCAAGUGGUCAGGAUGAUUAUUGGGCCUAAAGCAUCCGUAGCCGGCUCUGUAAGUUUUCGGUUAAAUCUGUACGCUCAACGUACAGGCUGUCGGGAAUACUGCAGCGCUAGGGAGUGGGAGAGGUAGACGGUACUCGGUAGGAAGGGGUAAAAUCCUUUGAUCUAUUGAUGACCACCUGUGGCGAAGGCGGUCUACCAGAACACGUCCGACGGUGAGGGAUGAAAGCUGGGGGAGCAAACCGGAUUAGAUACCCGAGUAGUCC
rnacentral:rRNA from 1 species